CUCACCCUUCCUUGUUCCUCCCGCCUAUAUACCACCGUCGUCAGCUUACCCUGUGAAGGGCUAAUAGUAAGCAAAACUGGCAAAGCCCAAAACGUCAGGUCGAGGUGUAGCGCAUGGAAGGGGAAGAAAUGGGCUACAUUCACUAACCCAGUGCACACGAAUGACACCCUGAAACACGUGUCUGAAGGAGGAUUUAGCAGUAAGUAGAAAAUAGAGUGUUCUGCUGAAACUGGCCCUGAAGCGCGCACACACCGCCCGUCACUCUCCCCGAGCUAAGACUCUCAAGUAAAUAAACAACUAUAACUGCAAAGGGGAGGCAAGUCGUAACAUGGUAAGUGUACCGGAAGGUGCACUUGGAAAAAC
rnacentral:rRNA from 1 species